GACGAACGCUGGCGGCGUGCCUAACACAUGCAAGUCGGACGAGAAAGGGGUUUCGGCCCUGAGUAAAGUGGCGCACGGGUGAGUAACACGUAGGUAACCUGCCUCCGAGGUUGGGAUAACCCGUCGAAAGGCGAGCUAAUACCGAAUAAGACCACGGUUUCUGCGGGAGUUGGGGUCAAAGGGUGGCCUCUACACGAAAGCCAUCGCUUGGAGAUGGGCCUGCGCACCAUUAGCUAGUUGGUAGGGUAACGGCCUACCAAGGCGAAGAUGGUUAGCUGGUCUGAGAGGAUGAUCAGCCACACUGGAACUGAGACACGGUCCAGACUCCUACGGGAGGCAGCAGUGGGGAAUAUUGCGCAAUGGGCGAAAGCCUGACGCAGCAACGCCGCGUGAGUGAUGAAGGCCUCCGGGUCGUAAAGCUCUGUCGGAGGGAACGAAAGACCUUGGGGUGAAUAGCCCCGAGGGUGACGGUACCCUCAAAGGAAGCACCGGCUAACUCUGUGCCAGCAGCCGCGGUAA
rnacentral:rRNA from 1 species